UACAGAGGUCCCAAGCGUUGUUCGGAUUCACUGGGCGUAAAGGGUGCGUAGGUGGUUGGGCAAGUCUGAUGUGAAAUCUCCGGGCUUAACCCGGAAAUGGCAUUGGAAACUGCCUGGCUAGAGUGUUGGAGGGGGGACUGGAAUUCUCGGUGUAGCAGUGAAAUUCGUAGAUAUUGGGAAGAACACCGGUGGCGAAGGCGGCGACCUGGUCCGAUACUGACGCUGAGGCGCGAAAGCGUGGGGAGCAAACAGG
rnacentral:rRNA from 1 species